CAAAGAUUUCAAUACAAGUUCAAGUUCUUUUUUUCCCUCUUUCAUCUAAGUGCAAUUUCCCCUUCCACAAGAUUUUCAUUCCAACACAAAAUGCAUUGAAUGUUCUUUGCAGAUCCCUCUUGGGCUUGUAUUGGCCAGCCCUCCUUUCAACUAUCAUGUAAACAUGGUAGUCUCCAAGAUUGCUCCUGCACUAAUCGCUGGCAACUCUUUGGUACUCAAUUGAGACUAUACGCUCGCCCUCAGCGCCCCCGUCAACUCAUCCCAGAGUCAACACGGAGGAGGUAGAUCAACUCCUUGGUACUCAAGCCCCAUACUCAGGGCACUGUGGCUGCUCUUCACAUGCACUGCUUUCACCUUGCUGGGUUCCCGGAGGGCCUCAUCAGCUGUAUCACUGGCAAAGGUUCAUAAAUCGGUGAUUUCCUAACAAUGCCACCUGGAGUAAAUUGCAUCAGGUAUCGGCAACAUGUUUGGCAUUUCUAGCUUGGAUGAAUCAAAUAGCGAUUGAUUUUCUGUGCUGCACGAUACUGCUUCAUUGGAGGUGAUAUUGACAUUGCCAUCUCAAAGAAAGCCGGAAUCAUCCCUCUGCAGAUGGAGCUCGGUGGGAAGGUAAAUUUUUCUGUGCUGCACGAUACUGCUUCAUUGGAGGUGAUAUCUUCAUUGGAGUCAGGAACUAUUCAAAUAAAUUCAACGCCAGCCCGAGGGCCUGAUCAUUUUCCCUUCCAGGGUCUGAAAGACAGUGGCAUUGGUUCGCAAGGGAUAACCAACAACAUCAAUAUAAUGACGAUGAUCAAAAGCACUGUGAUCAACCAACCAUCUCCAUCCUACACUAUGGGUUGAAAGUUGAAACCAAGAGCUAGUAGAUUUGACUUGUUAAAUGAUAUAAUAAAAUUUU